GUCUCCUUCCGUGCUGUGGAAGCUUUGUUCUUUUGUUCUUUGCAGUAAAUCUUGCUAUUGCUCACUCUUUGGGUCCACACUGCUUUUAUGAGCUGUAACACUCACCACGAAGGUCUGCAGCUUCACUCCUGAAGCCAGGGAGACCACGAGCACAGCAGGAGGAAGGAACAACUCCAGACGCGGUGCCUUAAGAGCUGUAACAGUCACCGCGAAGGUCUGCAGCUUCACUCCUGAGCCAGCAAGACCACGAACCCACCAGAAGGAAGAAACUCAGAACACAUCUGAACAUCAGAAGGAACAAACUCCAGACACGCCACCUUAAGACACAUGGCGACUUUCAAGAAUUCCAUUAAUUUGAGUGACUCUUCAAAAUCCUAUCUCAAAUAUGUUUUCCAGCUAACUAUAUAUUUUUAAAGAACAAAUGUUCUCUGUGAUCAACAUACAUUCAGCAGAGGAUAUGCAACU
rnacentral:lncRNA from 10 species